rnacentral:rRNA from 1 species
CCUACGGUAGGCAGCAGUCGAGAAUCAUUCACAAUGGGGGAAACCCUGAUGGUGCGACGCCGCGUGGGGGAAUGAAGGUCUUCGGAUUGUAAACCCCUGUCAUGUGGGAGCAAAUUAAAAAGACAGUACCACAAGAGGAAGAGAAGGCUAACUCUGUGCCAGCAGACGCGGGAAUACAGAGGUCUCAAGCGUUGUUCGGAAUCACUGGGCGUAAGGCGUGCGUAGGCCGUUUCGUAAGUCGGGUGUGAAAGGCGCGGGCUCAACCCGCGGACGGCACAUGAUACUGCGAGGCUAGAGUAAGGGAGGGGGAACCGGAAUUCUCGGUGUAGCAGUGAAAUGCGUAGAUAUCGAGAGGAACACUCGUGGCGAAGGCGGGUUCCUGGACAUUAACUGACGCUGAGGCACGAAGGCCAGGGGAGCGAAAGGGAUUAGAUACCCCUGUAGUC